UGGGGAAUUUUGGACAAUGGGCGCAAGCCUGAUCCAGCCAUGCCGCGUGCGGGAAGAAGGCCUCGGGUUGUAAACCGCUUUUGUCAGGGAAGAAAUCUUCUGAGUUAAUACCUCGGGAGGAUGACGGUACCUGAAGAAUAAGCACCGGCUAACUACGUGCCAGCAGCCGCGGUAAUACGUAGGGUGCAAGCGUUAAUCGGAAUUACUGGGCGUAAAGCGUGCGCAGGCGGUUUUGUAAGACAGAGGUGAAAUCCCCGGGCUCAACCUGGGAACUGCCUUUGUGACUGCAAGGCUUGAGUGCGGCAGAGGGGGAUGGAAUUCCGCGUGUAGCAGUGAAAUGCGUAGAUAUGCGGAGGAACACCGAUGGCGAAGGCAAUCCCCUGGGCCUGCACUGACGCUCAUGCACGAAAGCGUGGGGAGCAAACAGGAUUAGAUACCCCUGGUAGUCCACGCCCUAAACGAUGUCAACUGGUUGUUGGGAAGGUUCCUUCUCAGUAACGUAGCUAACGCGUGAAGUUGACCGCCUGGGGAGUACGGCCGCAAGGUUGAAACUUAAAUGAAUUGACGGGGU
rnacentral:rRNA from 1 species